UAAAUCUAUACAUGAUUUAUUUAUUUCUCAAGUAGCUACCAAAUGCUUUUUACGCAUUGAAGAUUUGACAAAACCUUUAUUAGAAUCAAUUGACACUUGUUUUAAGUUUUGUUAUUUUUUUCAAUGUUUAAUAGAAAAUGAGUUAUUUACGGAUAUUAUAAAUUACGAAAUGGAUAAUGAAAAAUGUGAGAAGGAUGGAGAAAAAGUUUUUAAUAAUGCUGGUGAUAGCCAUGGUGCAAAUGGUGAUAAUGAUCAUGAUGGUGGUGAUGGUGAUAAUGGUGAUGAUGAUGAGAACAAAGACAGCGACUUAAACCAAGUGAUUCAAAAGUUGUUGCAAUAUAAUGAUAUGUUUAAUGAUAGUUUAAUCAAAGCGAUAAACGAAAUGAUGAACAUAAGUUCGAGCAGCAACCACGGGUAUCUUGUGCAUUUGUUAACUACAUUUGAUUUUAACAAUUACAUAACGAAGGUGAAAGAAGUGAAGGCGAAAGAACAGGCGGAUAAGGACGACGGUGCGAGUGAGAGUGAUAACAAUAUCUCGCCUUUGAACGAUACGCAUAAUGAUAACCUUAAUGAUAACGAGGGUAUAACAAAGAGUGGUAUAACAAAGAGUGGUAUAACAAAGAGUGGUAUAGCAACAAAUAACAUAGCAACGAAUGGCCUAACAAAUGACGAUACGCUAAGUUUAGCGAAAAAGUAUAUAAAACCAAAUGUGAAUGAAGAUAUAAGAAUACAAAUAAAUGCAUUAAAUGAACAAUUAGAAAAGAGCAAAGUGGCUAAUGAAAGAAACAUACAAUUUAGUAAAAUAAAUGAUAACAAAAUGGAAUAUACAGAUAUUGAAGGUUUAAAUAAUAGUGAUAAUUAUUAUUUAAAUAAAAAAGAUAUGUAUACAGAUAAAAGUCUCCCACCAAGUGUUAACACUUAUUUAAACAAUAUGUCAAAAGGUGUUUUAAACGAAAAAAAUAAAAAUUUACUACAAAAUAAAAUAGUUAAUAAGUUCAGUAAUUUGUUGCAUAGUAAUAAUGUUGGUGAAGAGUAUAAAAUAAAUCAAAGUAAAUUGAAUGAUGAACAUAGAUUAAAUAAUUUAUCUUUGGAAAUGUAUCAGAAUAGCUAUAAUGGCAUGUCGAAUUUGGAUAAUAAUGUAACCAAUUUUGGUAAAUACAACUAUUACAGUAAUAUGACAGGUGGCAGUAAUAAUAGUAUUAACAACAGUAAUAGCUUAAUGAUGGGUAAUAAAAAUUAUAUCGUAAAUAAUCGUCACAAUAUUUACAUGAAUGAAACUCUAAACGAUGAAAGAUACAAAAAUAAUAAUUACAUGAACAGUGUUAAUAACGACCUAAAUAAUAAUGUUGCAACAGAUGCGGUUAAUAAUAGUAAUAGUAACAGCUUAAGGGACCAUAACAUUUUACUUGAAAAAUAUUCGAACAUACUUAACAGUCAUAUGAGUCAUAGUAACAAUAACAGUACCAUUUAUAACUCUGCUUUAAAUUUGACUAACACUGCAAAUUUAGAUUCGUAUAAGUCCAUGUUAGAUACAUCAAAGGUACAGAAUUUAAAUAACACUUCGAGCGUGUUAGGAAAUAAUAAUAAUUACAAUAAUGUGAGCGGUAUUGAUAUCAGGGAUAGCAUGAAUAGUAUGAGCAGCAUGUAUAACCGUGAAAUGCGGCCAAGUAAUAAUGUGAAUACCAAUUCAAAAAAACCAAUCGAUAUAAAUUAUAAUAAAAUAACAACUGAUAACAAUCCUUUAAUUGUCCAAGCCAGUUUAAAUAAUACUACAGCCUCUAGUUAUAAUAAUUAUACUGGUUAUAAGAACAUAAUAGAUACUAAUAUUAAAAAUAAAUUUAAUGUUCAAAAUUUGUUAAAUAAUUAUAAUUAUAGUUAUGAUUCUGUGUCUAAUAACAAUUCUUUGAAUGUACCUAAUUUGAGUCAGUUUGAAUCUGUAAAUACAAAUAUUUCUAACAUGUAUAAUAAUGUAACAACUUCGCCAAAAUAUGCGAACAUGUCGCUAAACAUGUAUUCACAGAAUGAUAGCAUUGUUGGGAGUGGUAGUAGCAUAGACAGCAGUAGUGGUAUUAAUAAUAAUAGCAAAAAGUAGGAGCAAAAAAAAAAAAAAAAA
rnacentral:lncRNA from 1 species